rnacentral:rRNA from 1 species
GACGAACGCUGGCGGCGUGCUUAACACAUGCAAGUCGAGCGGUAAGGCCCUUUCGGGGGUACGACGAGCGGCGAACGGGUGAGUAACACGUGGGUGACCUCGCCCUCAGCUCUGGGAUAAGCCUGGGAAACCGGGUCUAAUACUGGAUAUGACUCCAUGACGCAUGUUGUGGGGUGGAAAGCCUUGUGCGGCUGAGGAUGGGCCCGCGGCCUAUCAGCUUGUUGGUGGGGGGAUGGCCUACCAAGGCGACGACGGGUA